CAAAACCAAACCCACAAAAACCAACUAACCAACAAAUCCCCCCCCAGCCCCAAAAGAUCCCCCCGCUGUUUGAAGUUCUGGUAAUAUGCUUUCUUCACGUGUAUCUAUUUUUCUGUGUCCUAUUUUUCAGAGUUAUGAGGGGGAAAAAAAAUAAGACAAAAACAGUGUGCUACAUUUAAUGCCUGAUUUUGGUUUUGCCACUGCUUGCCAUUUAUAAAAGGUGGUAUCUCACAGCUGGAAAGUCACAGAACUCUCCUGACAUAAAAAGGUAGAAAGACAUGGCCAGAUGAGUUAACUAAGGUUAUAUCUGAACCCAAAGAUGGAAUUGAAGAAGUAUCAGCAGUAACUUUAAACUAGUUAGCUUUGGUUAAAAUUUCUGUUAAGAAGUGGCAGCACACUGCUUCAUAUGGUCAGCAGAAUCAACAGGGAAUCAACAAAAUCUGUCAGGGAAUUUGGGUAGACUGACGUUCAUCUGCUGGUUUCCAGGGAGGUCUGUGCUGCUAUAGAGAUGCUCUUACCCCUACCUGAGCUACCCAGUUUAAAACCUGUGUGCCUACAUCAAGUACACCCACGCUUCUGGCCUCAGUUUAGACAUGGAACUGUCUCUCAAGUUAACUCAUCCUGGUUGGAGCAAGGCAUUUGGUAGUUUUCACCUCAAUCAACUGUUUGGAUUUAGAACUGUGUGGGUGCCUAAUUUUAACACAGUAUGUUAACUCCUGUAAAAAAUGUCCUCAUGGGAUUCUAGUUUGAGGCAGUCUGGGUUUUUUCCAGUUCCUAGUGCAUGUAAAAGUGAAGACCAAGCUGGACAGAAAGAGGACAGGAUAAAUGGUGAGGUGUUAAAUCUGAAUUCCACCCUGUUGCUAUUGCCAGUGCAUCAGAGAGGCUCAUCUCAUGGUGUCUGACAGAAGGACUGCUGGUGACGUAAUUACCCUUGAACCUUGACUGAAGGAGAACCCUGUCCUCAGCUGAGAAUAUACCAGUACUCUGUGUGUGUAAGUCCUUGUUGUUUAACUUACUGUAUGUGGACAACACAGGGUGUAGAAUAUUACUGGCCAACUGGUCAGGCUGUUCAAAGGCUAGAAUUUGCUCUACGUUUAUCUGAGGCGCAGGUGAUUUCUCCUUUAAUAUCAAUAUGCAAUUAAUCAACAAUUUUUUUACUAUGUCACUGAUAGUAUUAAAUAAUAUUAAACUCUCCACAUGCUCAAUACAGUUGAUAUAUUGUGUAGCAUGUUGGCAAUCAAAUCAGGUAUUAUUAAGCCUUGGAGAAGUCUCACCCAAUUCUGUAAUUUGUAUUAAUUAUAUCUCUCCAUUAUUAUGCCUUAUAUAACCUUUCUUCAUUCAUAGGUAAUCAUGUUCCAUGUAAACAAUUUUACUGUUUUUCAGGCCUCCACACCUACAAUUCCCCAGGUGAUCUGAUACAAGCCCUAGGAAAACAGUGUUUGUUUUGUCUGUGAAUAUCACUGUAAUUCAAUGACUUUUUGUUUGCAAGCCUUAGUUAGAAAUUGUCCUUCUUCAUCCAUAUGCGGGGAUUAAUAACCUCUUCUGAAGUUGUUACAUUUGCUGUUGUGUGUAUUAUAUAAUUUAGUUUUCUGUAAUGUUUUUGUCUCUCUUUAAACAAAAUAAAACAUUUGUCACAGAUGA